GAGAGGCAGAAAGAGAGGGAGGAGUAGACUCCCUGCUGAGCAGGGAGCCUGAUUUGGGUCUCGUCCUGGGAUCAUGACCUGAGCCAAAGGCAGAGGCUUAACUGACUGAGCCACCCAAGCAUCCUGCUAAGGCUUAUUCUUAUUUCUUCCCAUCGUACCCAGGAGACAAGGGACUGGUGAGGGAACCCUUUGCAGAAGGAAAGCCAGGUUUCUGCUGGGCCCUGAAGGGCAUGGUAGUUCUUACAAGCCAAGGGGAGAUGUUAUAACAGCCGUCAUAUCACAUGAUGGAAGCAACUACCUCCAAUGCUAAGUGGGUGUUUCUUCCUUCUCCCUCCCCCACGUCUCGAUCCAUUUUCCUUCCUCCAACAUUCGGUCACCCCCGUCAUCACGGCUGGAGGACGCAGUGAGAGGCAGAUGCAUUCUCAUCGGUUGCUGGUCUCCCCAGCUUCUGUCCUUCUUUCCCUCCUGGGGGUUGGCCUGCUGACUUCCGGCCGGUUGCACACCAGGCCCAGAGGUGGCCAGCUUGCUCGGAUGCCUCACCUAGCUCCUGCAAUGAUGGGGGAAGGGCCAGCCCCACCAUAAAGCCUAUAUACCCCACCACUCCACAUGGUCUGCUGCUCCAGCUGCACUUGGCCUGAAACACGUGUUAGUUGAAGGAGGCAGAGAAGAGAAGGACUUGGAAGAAGAAGGCGGCUGCUCUCUUCCAUCCCAAAGAUGACUGAAUGCGAGUGUCGCUCUGGGACACAGCGAAGUAAUGACAUCAAGCCUGCGCUGCAGUCCCUGGGGGGCUUUGUGGGCAUCUGCUUUGGAGAAUUUGGGGAAUAGGCGGGCUCUGCUCUUUCUGCAAGUGUGGCAUUGCUGGAGGGCAGAAGAAUGAAAGCCUCCCAGCGGCUACUGUGGGGAGAUAGCUCUGGUUGAAGAGCAGGGACCAAGGGGACAGAAGCCCCUGUUCCAGCCCCAGCCCCUUCUACCACGGUGAAGGGUUUGACCUCUGGCAGCUUGUUUACUCUCUCUUCCACCCAGGGAGGGACCAAAAUAUUGGGGAAAUAGCAAUUCCGAUGUUGUUUGCUGUUUGAACAAAAAGCAACCCAAUUUUUAUUUAAACACCCUGUAAUCCACAGGGUUACGCAAGUUUUUUUUAAAUUUUUUAUUUAUUUUAUUUUAUUUUAUUUUUUUAAAUUGGUGGGUCCGUUAAAAUAGGAAACUGGAUUUGUAUUUCUCUAUCUCUAACAAUGCUGCGGAAGGAAAGAAAUCAGUGAGUUGAAAGUCAAACUGUCGUCAAAACAACUCAUGAAAGUGAUGCCUUUGUCAGCUGGUGACCCUAUGACAGGUCUGGUGGGCAUGACCCUGUCCCCUUCCCAGCCUGGCCAGGCCAGGCCAGGCCAUGCAGCUGCUAGACUGUGUACCAGCAGGAAUCUGCGGAAACCAGCAGGCAGGGAUGAACGUAAAUAGAUCCUUGGGGAGGCAGGAGAGACCUUCAUCACCUUAAAGUCCCAGAAACUAUUCCCACACUGUCUGUCACUCCCACGGCAGGAAGAAUGGGAUUUGUUCUUUUUAAAUCUCUUAAAGAAUUUAAAGGCCAAACUCAACUGGGCUCUGGCAUGGAAAUUUCUACCAGGAUAUAUUUCUCAAAGACUCCUUCUCAUUGCAUGCCCAUUUCAAAGUAGCUGAGUUCAUCAGCCUCUGCUGUGCAGUCUUGAACUCGUCUCAUUUUGGAGGUGUUCUGGAAAGAGUUUGACAUUUAAUGGCGGGUAGCUGUGAUCAGAAGGCUUUAGGUCAGAACCCUGGAGUGUGGAAUUGUUUUUUGGUGACUGUUUUGGAGACAAGGUCUAGUAAAAAUCAUUCAUCUUCUUAAAGGCCCAUCUGUUUGGGGGCAGGAACACUUUUCAUCUGCAUUGCACACAAUGAUGUCCCAGGUGGCAUGGCAGUCAUGGGACAAGCUGGCUUACAAAAUGCUGAGACUGGGGAGAGAGAGAGAACACGAGAUCGAGAGCAAGAGAGAGAGUGCGCACAGGAUUUGAAGUGGUAUAAAGUGCUCUCUACCACACCGCGUAAACCUCAGCGAGAAUUUCUUCAUCUGACUUUCAAAAAGACUGCGGGAAAUGCUUGCUUGGAGGAAUGCGGUGGAGACGUUCGGCAUCUGGACAUUCCUUCCGCGUGAUGGCACACAUCUGGCUCUUUGGAAUGAGCAGAACAUUUCCCUUCCAGUUUCCCUCCAGAUGUCUGAGGAUGUGAGGCUACAGCCCACGAGGUGAGCCAUUUAUCAAGCUUUACUGACUAAUUAAAAGCCAGAGCUGGGCAGAGGCCUCGCGGGAUUCUUUAUCCUUAUCGUGCAUGAAUGUGCAGGGUUUUUCACUCCGACGCGCGCCGCAGGACCCACCUUCCAUCAAGCAGACAGUGGACUUUUUUGCGCCCUGCACUUCAGAUGUACGUGCCCAAGAGGCCCAGACUGAAAUGAGGGAUUGGUGCGCGAGUGUAAACGGACGUCCUGGCAGACAGAUGGGUGGACGGUUAACUGGCUUCCAUUGAAUCCAAAUGAAGCUAACACCAUUCAAAUUCCGGCCCAGCUAUGUUGUACCCAGCUCAAGGUUGCUGAAAUUGAAUUCAAAAGCCGAAAACACAUGCUGGCCCGGCUCAAGAGCAGCUGCCGAUUGCAAACACAUCGCUUAGCAAUGCAUAAGAUGCUCUGGGGUGACAUUUGGGGUUCCUGAUUAAGUGGGAUAAUCAAAGAAACAUCAUUCAAAACCCUUGCCCUUGCACACAAGCACACAUCCAGAAUAUUUUUUUUUAAAGAAAGCAUUAAGAAAAAACAAAACAA